GACGAACGCUGGCGGCGUGCCUAAUACAUGCAAGUCGAGCGGACCGGCUUGGGGCUUGCCUUGAUUCCGUCAGCGGCGGACGGGUGAGUAACACGUGGGCAACCUGCCCGCAAGACCGGGAUAACUCCGGGAAACCGGAGCUAAUACCGGAUAACAUCGAAGACCGCAUGGUCUUCGGUUGAAAGGCGGCUUUUGGGCUGUUACUCGCGGAUUGGCCCGCGGCGGAUUAGGUAGUUGGUGAGGUAAAGGCUCACCAAGGCGAGGAAGCGGAGCCGGCCUGGGAGGGUGGAUAGCCACCCUGGGAGUGAGACAGGGCCCAGAGUGCUACGGGAGGGAGCAGGAGGGCAUCUUCCGGAAUGGGCGGAAGACUGACGGGACGAGGCCGCGGGGGGGAAGAAGGCCUUCGGGUGGGAAAGCUCUGUUGUGGGGGAGGAAAGAGCGUCGUUCGAAGAGGGCGGCGCAGUGACGGUACCUGACGAGAAAGCACCGGCUAACUACGUG
rnacentral:rRNA from 1 species